rnacentral:rRNA from 1 species
UACGGGGGGGGCAAGCGUUGUUCGGAAUUACUGGGCGUAAAGGGCUCGUAGGGGGCCAACUAAGUCAGACGUGAAAUCCCUCGGCUUAACCGGGGAACUGCGUCUGAUACUGGAUGGCUUGAGUUUGGGAGAGGGACGCGGAAUUCCAGGUGUAGCGGUGAAAUGCGUAGAUAUCUGGAGGAACACCGGUGGCGAAGGCGGCGUCCUGGACCAACACUGACACUGAGGAGCGAAAGCCAGGGGAGCAAACAGG